CAACUUUCCCGUUAACUUCUUAUCUCUUCUUUUGAUUCUAUACGAAUUUUAUUUCGAAAGAAAACAAGUUAACCGGAAGGUUAAGGCAUUAAUAAAUAUUACUGUGCAACUAAUUACUGUCGUACAUAAUGCAAUAACCAGUCUCACAUAUUGAUCACUGAGUUUUGAAGUUUAUUGUAUAAUUCCAUGUGUGAUACAUGCAAGUGGACAUAUUAUUUAACUUUUAAAGUGAAAGUGAAGAAUAGUGUGAAAAACUGUGCUGCAAAGUAAUUUGUAACAGAUAUUUCACGGGCGAAGGAAUAAUGGUGAGAUACUAGCAUGGAGAGCCACCGCGAAUUAGAGUUAUUGAAUCUGCGGUGUAUUGAGUUCGAUCGCACGUCCCCGGAAUAUGUUUAAAUUCUAAUAACGUGAUUUACGAUGGCAGAGCGUUUCGGAAUCCAACCAUUUCAUGAGUGGGGGGGCUCAGGAAAAUGCUCCAGUGAUUUGAAUAAUCGGUCGAAAUUAUGCAUACGUAGAGUGUUCGUAAAAUCACAUUAUACAACAGGCCGUUAAAGUGACCCCGAAAAGAAUACAAAAAGCCGAGGUAAAAAUAGCGGCAUCUUUUUCCGACACCUUCGCGCAUUGGGUAGAUUUCACAACCUGUGAUGAAAAAUGGAAAGUAAGGUUGAAAACAAAAAGAAUAAAUUAAGAUUGCCAAAGAAUGACCAUAUCCCGAAAAACCCGUGUAAUGGUGAUGGGCAACGCUUUUGCCUCUCAGCCACACUUCCACGCGUCUUCAAAGAUAAGAAAUAUGGCUUGACGUUGAACCUUCGGUCACCAUGGUGUUCGUGAGAUCGGGGAAAGGGUGGCAAACGGUUAACACAGAAGCACCGAUGGCCCUGAGAGUGUAUCUUUAUAGAGGGCGGUGACUGGGGGGUUAUAAAAGUAAAUGUCCUACUGUCAAGGUUGCCUCUUGGUUUUCACGCCGACGUAGCUGGCCGACUGGAUACAGUUUGAGGAUACCAGAUAAACCUACCGGGUAAUCUUCUUGUAACGAAGAGCGAACGAAACUGGCCUGGAAAACGUUGGAUUAGGAUUAAAAGCUUUCGAGACUAACACGGAUGACAAAAUCUUGCGAGAAUGGGAAUCUACAACCAAGUGUUCGCAACCAACCAAAUUUCCUCUUAUCACGUUUGACGAAGGAUGAUUUUUCACCAGCAGUCAGUACUGUAGACUCUCAAUGACGACGACGUGAUUUGAGCUUCUUUCGAUUUCAUCGUCGUGAAUAGUGCAACCCUGGUCAAUCUGAGAGCAGCCAGGCGACCUGGAGUGCACGUUCAAACCUCGAAUAAAACUACCAACAGAAUGACGGGCGACUCAGAUAGCAUGAGGA
rnacentral:lncRNA from 1 species